rnacentral:rRNA from 1 species
AUGAAGGCCAAGGAAUUCUUUUUCCAAUUUGGGACUUUCUCGGUUAGGGACGGUUCUCAGGUUUGAUUCUGGGAAGACACCUGGCUAGGGACCACACCACUCAUGGUGCAAUACCCGAGUUUGUAUAACAUUGUUAGACAUAAAUUUGUCACCAUCAAACAAGUUUUGGGACAAGAAAACCCUGAUAUUUCUUUCCGUAGGGACCUAUUAGGACCUCGCCUGACAGCUUGGAAUGAGCUACUCAUACGUCUAGAGGCUAUUCAGCUGUUAGAUGAACCGGACAUCUUUCGAUGGAAUUUGCAUCAGAAUGGCAAGUUUACAGUCAAAUCCAUGUAUGAUGCAAUGGUUCAUUGUGAUGUUCCAGUUGAUAAGAGGAAAUUGUGGAAGCUUAAAAUCCCUCUAAGAGUGAAGAUAUUCCGCUGGUUCCUAAACAGAGGGGUCAUCUUAACUAGAGAUAACCUGGCACGACGCAACUGGCAAGGCACCAAGGCGUGUGUUUUUUGCCAACAUGACGAGUCUAUUAAGCACUUAUUUUUUGAGUGUAAGUUCGCUCGGGCGGUUUUGGCCAUAGUUCAAGUAGCUUCAAAUUUAUACCCACCAUGCAGUGCUCGUAACAUGUUCGGCAAUUGGUUGAGGGGUAUUGAUAAACAAAUUUCUCCACAUAUUCUUGUGGGGGCGGCUGCCUUAUGCUGGGCAUUGUAG